AUCGCUUCUCGGCCUUUUGGCUAAGAUCAAAGUGUAUUAUCUGCUUUAUAGUAUCUGCUCUUUUCAGCUUAAUAGCUGAAAUUUCCCUCAUUGAGGGACCAGUAUACUAAACUGAUUUUUGUAAGAUUUGUCACAAUUUUGAAAUAAGUUGCAUUGCGUCUUUCUUAAUACUCUACAAGCAAUGUAACGCGAAUUAAAU